GCACAGUCAAGGACAAAGUUGGCUGAGAUGUAUGAUUUGAAGGGACAAAGUCGACAGGGUAGUUGAGCUGUGCUGCCAUGGAAAAAGCCAGGACUAAUGAAAUAACACAGAGAAACAAACACAAAGCAUCACGUAUGCAAGGAAAAUGUACGCUAACCACACUGCACCUUGGUCCGGUCAUUUCCACGACGACGUCCGUGACAGGAUCCUCUGUUUUGCCCACCACCCAGGACACUGGAUCGGAUCCCAGCCGGCGAACCAAAACAACGAUGCCGUAAAAGGGGCAGACGAAGCGGUCUCCUGGUCAGGCUCCGGAGACGGGCACAUCACGCACCGCUCCCGAGCAUACUACUCGCCAAUGUCCAGUCUCUUGACAACAAGGUUGAUGAAAUCCGAGCAAGGGUAGAAUUCCAGAGAGACAUAAGAGACUUUAACAUGGAAACAUAGCUCACUCGAGACACGCUAUCGGAGUUGGUACACCCAGCUGGUUUCUUCACGCAUCGCGCCGACAGAAACAAGCAUCUUUCUGGUAAGAAGAGGGGCGGGGGGGUAUGCCUUAUGAUUAACGAUAUGUGGUGUGAUCAUAACAACAUACAGGAACUCAAGUCCUUCUGUUCACCUGACUUAGAAUUCCUCACAAUCAAAUGUCGACCGCAUUAUAUACCAAGAGAAUUCUCUUCGAUUAUAAUCACAGCCGCAUAUAUUCCCCCCCAAGCAGACACAUCGACGGCCCUGAACAAACUUUAUUUGACUCUAUGUAAACUGGGAACCACAUAUCCUGAGGCUACAUUCAUUGUAGCUGGGGAUUUUAACAAGGCUAAUCUGAAAACAAGACUCCCUAAAUUCUGUCAGCGUAUCAAUUGUGCUACCAGAGCUGGUAAAACCCUGGAUCAUUGUUAUUCUAACUUCCACAAUGCAUAUAAGGCCCUCCUUUCAGAAAAGCUGACCAAGACUCCAUAUUGUUUCUCCCUGUAGAGUCGCAAUUAAACGGCUUAGACACAAGAGGUAUGUGGCAGGGUCUACAGUCAAUCACAUUUUGUGUUUUCAUUAUAUAUUUGAUCAGGCCAGGGUGUGACAUGGGUUUAUGUUAUAUUGUAUGUUCGUAUUGGGGUUUGUAGUAUUUGGGAUCGCGGCUGAUUAGGGGUGUUGUAUAGGCUUGGCUGCCUGAGGCGGUUCUCAAUCAGAGUCAGGUGAUUCUCGUUGUCUCUGAUUGGGAACCGUAUUUAGGUAGCCUGGUUUCGCUUUGUAUUUCGUGGGUGAUUGUUCCUGUCUCUGUGUAGUUUCACCAGAUAGGCUGUAAUAGGUUUCACGUUCCGUUUGUUGUUUUUUGUAUAUGUAUAAGUUAUUUCAUGUAUCACGAUCUUUGUUCAUUAAAGACAUGAGUAACCACCA